rnacentral:tRNA from 2 species
UCUAAAAUGGCAGAUUAGUGCAUUGGAAUUAAAUCCCAAAUAUAAAGCUUACACUUUUUUUAGAA